rnacentral:rRNA from 1 species
AUUGAAAGCUGGCGGCAGGCCUAACACAUGCAAGUCGAGCGAGCGGCGGACGGGUGAGUAAUGACUAGGAAUCUGCCUGGUAGUGGGGGAUAAAGUACGGAAACGGGAGCUAAUACCGCAUACCAUCAGAAUUGCACAGAUGGGAUUCGCUAGUGGGUGGGGUAACGGCUCACCUAGGCGACGAUCCCUAGCUGGUCUGAGAGGAUGACCAGCCACACUGGAACUGAGACACGGUCCAGACUCCUACGGGAGGCAGCAGUGGGGAAUAUUGCACAAUGGGCGCAAGCCUGAUGCAGCCAUGCCGCGUGUAUGAAGAAGGCCUUCGGGUUGUAAAGUACUUUCAGCGGGGAGGCGUUACCCGCAGAAGAAGCACCGGCUAACUCCGUGCCAGCAGCCGCGGUAAUUC